rnacentral:miRNA from 1 species
CUAGGGGAUUGACAUAGUCUG